rnacentral:rRNA from 1 species
UGUUGGUUUAAUUCGAUGAUACGCGACGGUAACCUUACCGUGGGCUACAAAUGUAUGUUGACGUAUUCUGAAAGGGAUUACUUUCUUCGGACAAUAUACAAGGUGCUGCAUGGUUGUCGUCAGCUCGUGCCGUGAGGUGUCGGGUUAAGUCCCAUAACGAGCGCAACCCCUAUCAUUUAGUUGCCAUCAGGUCAAGCUGGGGACUCUAAUGAAACUGCCUACGCAAGUAGUGAGGAAGGUGGGGACGACGUCAAGUCAUCAUGCCCCUUAUGUCCAGGGCUUCACACAUGCUACAAUGGCCAGUACAGAGGGCUGCGAGACCGUGAGGUGGAGCGAAUCCCUUAAAGCUGGUCUCAGUUCGGAUCGGGGUCUGCAACUCGACCCCGUGAAGUCGGAGUCGCUAGUAAUCGCAGAUCAGCAACGCUGCGGUGAAUACGUUCCCGGGCCUU